UUUCCGUAGGUGAACCUGCGGAAGGAUCAUUGUCGAAACCUGCAAAAGCAGACCGCGAACACGUAAAACCACUGGGACUCGAUCCCCCUCCCGUGCGCGUCAGCCUCACGGGCUAACGAACCCCGGCGCGGAAUGCGCCAAGGAAUACUCAUAGAAACGUCCUCCCCCGUCGCCCCGGUCUCGGCGCGCGACGGGGAGCGUAUCUCAAUGUCUAAACGACUCUCGGCAACGGAUAUCUCGGCUCUCGCAUCGAUGAAGAACGUAGCGAAAUGCGAUACUUGGUGUGAAUUGCAGAAUCCCGUGAACCAUCGAGUCUUUGAACGCAAGUUGCGCCCGAGGCCUUCUGGCUGAGGGCACGUCUGCCUGGGCGUCACGCAUCGCGUCGCAUCCCAACUCGCCUCGGAUGUUGGUCCCCCGUGCGCGCCAGCGCGCGGUCGGCCUAAAUGCGAACCCGCGGCGACUCGCGUCGCGACAAGUGGUGGUUGAACUCUCAACUCUCGUGCUGUCGUGACUCAGCUCGCGCGUCGGGCACAGCCCUACGGCUGGAGCAUCUCCGGCUUUCGACCGCGACCCCAGGUCAGGCGGGAUUACCCGCUGAGUUUAA
rnacentral:rRNA from 1 species